rnacentral:rRNA from 1 species
CAAUAGCGUAUAUUUAAGUUGUUGCAGUUAAAAAGCUCGUAGUUGGAUUUCGGUUGAGAACGGCCGGUCCGCCGUUUGGUGUGCACUGGCUGGUUUCAACUUCCUGUAGAGGACGUGCUCUGGCUUCACGGCUGGACGCGGAGUCUACGUGGUUACUUUGAAAAAAUUAGAGUGUUCAAAGCGGGCUUACGCUUGAAUAUUUCAGCAUGGAAUAACACUAUAGGACUCCUGUCCUAUUUCGUUGGUCUCGGGACGGGAGUAAUGAUUAAGAGGAACAGUUGGGGGCAUUCGUAUUUCAUUGUCAGAGGUGAAAUUCUUGGAUUUAUGAAAGACGAACUUCUGCGAAAGCAUUUGCCAAGGAUGUUUNCAUUAA